rnacentral:lncRNA from 1 species
GCAAAUAUUUGCAUGCAUGGAUUAUGCAUGCAUGUCAAUGCUAUACAACAAUUUAAUAUGCUUGAAAGGAGUAAACACACAAUCAAUGUCUCGUGUUUGUUUGCAUCAUUAGUUUUUAUAAGAGUUAUUGAAUGUAACGUUUCUUUGAAUGACAAUGUUAUAUAUAGAUAAAAAAAACCUCAAACAAGAUCAAAAUCACCGGUGGUACUCAAGGUUCAGAAUAUAUUCUUAGAAGUACCAUAUUGAAGUUUGGAACUUAGUAAAUUCUCACAAACAUCGACAAAUAUAAUUUACGCACUUUGCAACUUGAGGUUCGAUACACCUCCAAUCUGGACAGUUCCAGUCUUCCUUGCAUAUUAUAGUAAUAUCUUCUGUGAUGUCAAAUAACAAAAAAAAUUAAUGCUAGUAAUAGAAAAUAAAUCAUUAUGAAUAAGAUAUAGAAGAAAACUUUAGGAAAAAAAAAACAACAAACUAGCUCACCUUCCCCUUGGAUUACAAUGAUAAAUAUGAAAAAUAUAGUAGUCAUAAUAAUAUAUACAAACUUAAGUAUUGUGACCAUAUUUUUCUCGUUUUCUUAUAGAAAUAAAAAAUUAUAUCAUCAUCUUAUAGAGUAAAAACCUGAUUUAAAGAAUUAAAAUAAUAGCU